rnacentral:rRNA from 1 species
GACAGAGGAUGCAAGCGUUGUUCGGAAUUACUGGGCGUAAAGCGCGCGUAGGUGGUCUAGUGUGUCUGGUGUGAAAUCCCUUGGCUCAACCAAGGAAGUGCGCCAGAAACUGCAAGACUCGAAUUCGGGAGAGGAUGGUAGAAUUCUCAGUGUAGAGGUGAAAUUCGUAGAUACUGGGAGGAACACCGGUGGCGAAGGCGACCAUCUGGACCGACAUUGACACUAAAGUGCGAAAGCGUGGGUAGCAAACAGG